CCUACGGGAGGCAGCAGUGGGGAAUAUUGCACAAUGGGGGAAACCCUGAUGCAGCAACGCCGCGUGGGUGAAGGAGCGUUUCGGCGCGUAAAGCCCUGUCAGCGGGGAAGAAGAAAGACGGUACCCGACCAAGAAGCCCCGGCUAACUACGUGCCAGCAGCCGCGGUAAUACGUAGGGGGCGAGCGUUAUCCGGAAUUACUGGGUGUAAAGGGAGCGUAGACGGCGAGGUAAGCCUGAAGUGGAAGCCCGCGGCCCAACCGCGGAACUGCUUUGGGAACUGUUUUGCUGGAGUAUGGGAGGGGUAAGCGGAAUUCCUGGUGUAGCGGUGAAAUGCGUAGAUAUCAGGAGGAACACCGGUGGCGAAGGCGGCUUACUGGACCAUAACUGACGUUGAGGCUCGAAAGCGUGGGGAGCGAACAGGAUUAGAUACC
rnacentral:rRNA from 1 species